rnacentral:tRNA from 1 species
GGGCCAUAGCUCAGUGGUAGAUCAUCUGCCUUGCAUGCAGGAGGUCCCAGGUUCAGUCCCUGGCAUCUCCA